GGUGGCUCAGUAGUAGAGCGCUUGCCUUGCACGCAUGACACCCUGGGUUCGAUUCCUUAACACCA
rnacentral:tRNA from 1 species